GUUUCUUGGUAUCCUGGUCCUUGGUCUGCGUCUCUCUGCGCCGCUCUCCGUUUUGUAAGAUUUCAGGUUUGCUCUUUAGUUUCUCCCAGUUUAGGUUUGUCAUUACUCAUGCUUCAUUGCCUGUUUUUGCCACUGCCACCGUGUAAAUAAACUUCACUCGUAUCAUCAGUUUGCUGCAUUUUGGGUCCUCCUUUUCCUCCACUCCACACGGCUCACUCCGCCAGCCGUGACAGUACGAGCCGACCAAACAUGGACCCAGCGGCAUCCGCACUUCCCGAGGAGCUUCGGGAGGAACUAAUUGACUCUGUUUCCAGGUUGGUUAACCUAUGGCUCGAGCAUGAGGGGGAAGAGUGUCUCCGCGCUGUAGAAGCCAGGCUACAGCAGCUCAUCUCUGCUCACUCCUGGCUGCUGGACUCUCUUCACCCGCUCGCACAGGACUUCAUACUCAACGAACUGCACCUUCACCCACCAGCCGCUACCGCUUCCCAACUCAGCCCGGCGGCGAAGAUUUUGCCCGGCCCGCCGGAGGUUUUGCCCGGCCCGCCGGAGGUUUUGCCCGGCCCGCCGGAGGUUUUGCCCGGGAGGAAGCGACGAUCGCGCCGUCGGCGCAUCACCCCACAGCCGAAGACUAGGACUUUGGAACUGCCAGCUGUGCCAUCGUUGUCACCAACUCCUCCUGCACAACAAGUUAAGUCCAUCCAACCCGGAAAGAACUAUUUUUCACCUGUUCAUGUCAAGCAGAGAGACACACCACAUAAUAUUGUAAUCAGUCCUCAAAAGCUGGCCAGCCCAGAGACUGUGACACACUCCAGGGCCUCCCCAGAGGCUGGGUCCCAGCCCCCGGCCGGCUCUGGAC
ensembl:lncRNA